rnacentral:pre_miRNA from 1 species
UUCGAUCCCAUUCCUUGUCAUUCUACCAGUCCAGUGCUUGAUUUUUGAUGAUUUUUGGAUAUUAAAAAAAAAAAACCCAAAAAGAAAGAAAAUACAUAUUUUCUCGACUGGACGGAGAACUGAUAAGGGCUGGAGAGAGA